ensembl:lncRNA LINC02645 long intergenic non-protein coding RNA 2645
ACACAGGCAACACGGAAAGAGCUGGCUUGCGAGCUCCCUGCUUAACAGAAGGCUCAGUUGCCCAAGUGACGAAGGCAUUGUGGGGCACGAACCAGGCUUUGGUGAAUUUAUCUCAUUAUACACCAGGAGUUAUAAUUUAAAAACCAGUGUCAUAUAAAGAAGAAAAAAGAUAUGGUGAGAUACAAUACCAUUAACACUUCUUCAGAAACGGAUUUUAAAGCAGAACUUCCAUGACUGUGAAAUCCAACCGGGUGCGCGACCACGAGGAAGGAUGGCGAGGGAGGAAACCGCGCUUUGUUGUUGAGGUGCCUUUGUGUAAGAAAUGUACUUACAAAUGGAUGCAGAGAAGGAGCAAAAGCCAGAGAUUAGAAUGCCAGCAUUGGGAACAAAAUCCCAUGUGGGAAAAUUGAAGAAACUCAGAAUAUUUGACAGGAAGCUCUGUACAACAGAGGACAAGGAUGACACUGGUGUCCCAGUGGGAUUCACUAACUGAUGUUACAUAUGUGGAAGAACAAAGGGAAAAAUAAGUAACGCAGGGGAAAAUGUAGACGUAAACCUCCUCAAAGGAAGAAGUAGCAGUGAAAGACUUUUAACAAUGGAACGUCUUCUUUGUUAAAUGGCAGAGUCUGAAGAGGAUGGCAUAUAUUUCUGUUCCAGCAGGUUCCUGCUAACUCUAUGAUUCUAAGAAACAGUUCUUCCAAAAAUUUGAUCAUGGCUGUAUUCUGCACGAUAUUUUCCAAGAUAAAGCAAAGAGGUUUUCAUUUUGGAAAUAUUCAUGAGUUUUCCCUAAGUCAAGAGUUUUUUGUUGUUGUUCUUUUGUUUUUCUUCAUCAUUUGCAAAAGUGCCUCGACAUACAGAUGUUUGAAGUCAGGAAACUUUGGAGGACGUCGGCGCAUAAAUGGGAACUGCUUGGUGUCCCAUGGAGCUGCCAGUGGUGCAUGCCUGAAAGCCAUCUUGCUGCAGGGACCACAUGGGGACCACCAAAUCUGUCAGACAGCAAGCCAGGCAGUGCUCACAGCUCCACUUCCUCCUCUAUGACAACGGCAGAUGACUUGGCUCUUCGUGGAAUUGCACAAUGAAUAAACUUCCCGACCAAGUGAUAGUCGCUGAUGUGAAUCCUACCCAUGGGGAAAAUAUCUCAGUGUUGUUUAUUUCUGUCAAUGGGAAAAUGACAUUUGUUACAAAACAACUAAAAAUGUGUCUUGGAGCAUUCAAGCACUAUUCACUGCUAAGAUUCGGUGGAAACCUGAAUCACAUACAUUUAUGAGACUAUAAACAAAGGGUGGUAUGAGAAACGCGUCCUUUGACCUUGCAUAGUUCAGGGCUCAAAUGAUGUAGCUGCCCUGGCCUAGGUGAAUUACACUUUCAUCUGUGUCUGCUUCCCUGUCUUUACCGUGGGGGUAAGCCUGACUCACCACCGGUGCACUACAGAACGUAAAUCAUACAGUGUGCGUGAAGAGGACAUCCAAUCAAGGGUCCACUCGUUUCCCCCACCCCCCAACUCCUUUCCAUGACUGACAGUUCACCAAAGGCUUCACACCCAUGAACUGGAAAUGGUGAGGAAGUUCUCAGGCAGGAAAUGCCAGGGGGUGUUAUUUCCCGGCAAUCCUGAAAACCAUCAACUGUUUUUAGAUACAUGAUUGUUAAUUAAGACCCCUGAGAGGCUUGUUCCAAGACUUCGAUGCUGGGUUCAUACUGAAAGUACAGUAUUCCUUUCAUGCCUUCCCGAAGGGAAGGGGAUUAAAGUAAGUUUAAAAAGCCA